AACGGGUGAGUAACACGUGAGUAACCUGCCCUUGACUCUGGGAUAAGCCUGGGAAACUGGGUCUAAUACCGGAUACGACCAUCUGGCGCAUGUCAUGGUGGUGGAAAGCUUUUGUGGUUUUGGAUGGACUCGCGGCCUAUCAGCUUGUUGGUGGGGUAAUGGCCUACCAAGGCGACGACGGGUAGCCGGCCUGAGAGGGUGACCGGCCACACUGGGACUGAGACACGGCCCAGACUCCUACGGGAGGCAGCAGUGGGGAAUAUUGCACAAUGGGCGCAAGCCUGAUGCAGCGACGCCGCGUGAGGGAUGACGGCCUUCGGGUUGUAAACCUCUUUCAGUAGGGAAGAAGCGAAAGUGACGGUACCUGCAGAAGAAGCGCCGGCUAACUACGUGCCAGCAGCCGCGGUAAUACGUAGGGCGCAAGCGUUAUCCGGAAUUAUUGGGCGUAAAGAGCUCGUAGGCGGUUUGUCGCGUCUGCUGUGAAAGACCGGGGCUCAACUCCGGUUCUGCAGUGGGUACGGGCAGACUAGAGUGCAGUAGGGGAGACUGGAAUUCCUGGUGUAGCGGUGAAAUGCGCAGAUAUCAGGAGGAACACCGAUGGCGAAGGCAGGUCUCUGGGCUGUAACUGACGCUGAGGAGCGAAAGCAUGGGGAGCGAACAGGAUUAGAUACCCUGGUAGUCCAUGCCGUAAACGUUGGGCACUAGGUGUGGGGGACAUUCCACGUUUUCCGCGCCGUAGCUAACGCAUUAAGUGCCCCGCCUGGGGAGUACGGCCGCAAGGCUAAAACUCAAAGGAAUUGACGGGGGCCCGCACAAGCGGCGGAGCAUGCGGAUUAAUUCGAUGCAACGCGAAGAACCUUACCAAGGCUUGACAUGAACCGGAAAGACCUGGAAACAGGUGCCCCGCUUGCGGUCGGUUUACAGGUGGUGCAUGGUUGUCGUCAGCUCGUGUCGUGAGAUGUUGGGUUAAGUCCCGCAACGAGCGCAACCCUCGUUCUAUGUUGCCAGCGCGUUAUGGCGGGGACUCAUAGGAGACUGCCGGGGUCAACUCGGAGGAAGGUGGGGACGACGUCAAAUCAUCAUGCCCCUUAUGUCUUGGGCUUCACGCAUGCUACAAUGGCCGGUACAAAGGGUUGCGAUACUGUGAGGUGGAGCUAAUCCCAAAAAGCCGGUCUCAGUUCGGAUUGGGGUCUGCAACUCGACCCCAUGAAGUCGGAGUCGCUAGUAAUCGCAGAUCAGCAACGCUGCGGUGAAUACGUUCCCGGGCCUUGUACACACCGCCCGUCAAGUCACGAAAGUUGGUAACACCC
rnacentral:rRNA from 1 species